rnacentral:lncRNA from 1 species
AGGGUGGUUUUGCACCAUGGCACGGGGAGGGCUAAAGGCCUUGGGGACGGCUACCCAGGGUGGUCCUGUGCCCACUACCUGCACCCUCCUGGCUCUGGGACUCCAUUCCUAAGGGGAGGAACGGAUGACUCUCAAAGAAUUGGCAAACACACCGCGGAAGUUUAGGAAGCUGAGGGUAGUGGGGAUGGGAUAGGAAUGUCCGGCCCAGAGGUUAGGGACACCUGCUCAGUUCGACGACAGGAGGCUGGGCCUGCUGGGGCCACCUGUAGCCUGCAGGCGUCCUCCCUGGCCCUUAGCCCUACCCAGAAGCAGACUGGAAGAUGCGGGCACUGUGCCCUUUUGAAGGCCACCUCCCCUCCUGCUGGCCAAGAGCCUCCUUGCCGCUGGGGCAGGGCCAGGCAUCCCCCACUCUUGUCUAGAAAGCUGUGAUUGUGCCGGGCUCCAAGGCCUGGAUUUCUUCCUCCCUUUUCUCUCCACCCUUCAGCGGGCCUCCGGCACGCCUUUUGCCCUGUAGGGGUGCAGGGAGCUCUGGACUGUGAAGGAGACCCGCCACGGUCGGUUCAGCACAGACUGAAUGCCAAGCCCUGAGCUAAGUGUUUGCCAAGUCUUUACUCAGGUAAUCCUCACAUCACCCGAAGGACACAAGAUGAGAUUGUCCCUGAAGAGUGAAAGGAACCUACCUAUAGCCUUUGGCUACUUGCUAGGCAGGCAGCCUUUCACUGCUCCUGUAGGCUCCCAGCUGUGGCGGGUCUUCUACCUCAAGACCUGCCCCUGCCCUUCCUCCUGGAAUGUAGUUUUCUCUACAUCUCUUACUUAUUUUCCCAGGUCCUCAAGGGAAGUUGAAGUUGCCUGUUUGUUCUGGGAGGUAGCCCCCACCUCCCACACCUCCACGCACAUUCCAGGCAUUCAAUGUGUGUAUGGAAACUGGGUGAGAACUUGGACCUGCCCUUUAAGGUAAGGGCCUCACCAGCAGCUCAAGCUGGGCCUUUUAGCGGGAAAGUCCAGUUGUAUAAAGGGAGGCAGAUCCAUCAACAGUAGCCUGGGGCUGGCUCCCGUGAUCGGAAUGCCUUUCUCUGGGAGAUGAGGAUCAGCCUGUAGGUCUUUAGCGGUUGCUAUGGAAACCGAAAGCCGCCUCUUGGACUUUUAGGAAUUAAGAGAAAACCCUGGUGUGCAGGGCUUUGAGUCCCGGUGCUCCAUUGUCAUCCUCAGCCUGCUGUGCAGUUGGGAUCUGGGUCAGGGGUGGAUGAGAGUGGCCCUCAACCCAGAGCAAUGGUUGUGGGAAUCAAAAUGUGAAGGAGCACGGAGGGUCACAGGCAGAGCCUAGACCAAGGUAAUUUCAUAAAGAGAGGUGAGCUGGUGGAGAUACUAACUCUGUUGAUCCCACUUGGGUCACUCAUGUGGAUCCUGUCGAAACUUCAGCACUGUGGGUGGGGUAGUGAGAGGGAAGGGCAGAAAAAAUCUGCUGGACCUUCAAGAAGCCCUUUGGGAGUCUUCCAAGGAAAGGAAAGCCCAAGUGAGCCUAGUCCUUAGGAGCUGAGAUCUCCCCCUCUCCUGCCAACCAUUUGAGCCAGUUCUUUGCUUUGUGACCUUGGACCUGUCCCGAACCCUCUCUAGGAUUCUGCCGUCCUCAUCUGGGCCUGUCCAACUGGUCUUUCUUCUCCCCAUGGUUUAGGACACACCGAAGGUGUGAGGAUCCAGCACAAUUUAUCCCGAGGCCUUUGCAGCCCAGCCUUGCCACUAGGUCCAGGCAGGAAUCCAAAAGGGAGGGGCCUCCUGCCUGCCCGCCAAGCCUGCGCACACCUCUGCUCUUUGUCUCUGGAGCCUAAUCAGCCUCCAGAUCUAG